rnacentral:rRNA from 1 species
AAUCAACGCUGGCGGCGUGCCUAACACAUGCAAGUCGAACGCGAAAAGGGGCAACCCUGAGUAGAGUGGCGUCCGGGUGAGUAACACGUGGAUAAUCUGCCUGCGGGCGGGGAUAACUUUCCGAAGGGAGCUAUACCGCAUAACACCGUAAUAGGGCAUCCUGAUACGGUCAAAGAGGGGGAGUCGCAAGACCUCUCGCCUGCAGAGGAGUCCGCGGCCGAUUAGCUAGUUGGCGAGGUAACGGCUCACCAAGGCAGCGAUCGGUAGCCGGCCUGAGAGGGCGAACGGCCACACUGGCACUG